ACACUUCCCACGUAAUAGAAUAUAUUACUGUUGCUAUUAUUUUUCUGAAGUUACCUACCUCAAACUCUUCUCCACCCUACGAUCACUUCUCUGUGUACCUAUAUCAAAGACAUUACUAUGAGGCGACACGCCUCCUUCCAUGGGAAUUACCCGGAGGCAUAUAAGGCAGUCGACAUUCAGACACAAGUUGACUUCUAACAAGGGCAUACUUCCACAAUGACCGGAUUACUCUUGCUCUUUCUGAUCGUCUUUGCUUUCUCUGACGCCGAGGAGCACACUGUAAAUGAAUUAUUCUCUUUAAUUGGGACGGCGCCUGAGAAGACAGGGCAUGGCGGACAGUCCGAACCUCCGCAGAACGACAGCAGAGUCGGCGGGAAAGACCUCGCAUUACCCAUCAACGAGUUGCUGGGACAAACCAAGAAAACCGGGGACCCUAAAUAUACACUUCAUCAAUUACCUGCUGGGGUGUGGCCAAAGCACCCGGACCUGGUGCCUAUACCUCGUCUGGGGUCCAAUGGUAAAAACAAGAAGGUUUCUAAAACGGACCGGUUACCAGUUGAGCAUAACAGUGAGAAGAACCGAGGGGAUGGACGCGGUCAUGUUCCUAUUCUGCACUCCAAAAUCGCACCUGUUACAGUGAACCGUACGCACAAAAAUGUACCGGAGAGUGAACCUCAUUCCAACCACCCCCCACCAGGUGACAUUGACAACAACCACAACUCAAGAUCUCGUAACAUGCAACCGACUUCCAACACACGGAAAGACCGAGACCCCCCUAACCGGCGUCUUGACCCUGAGGAGAACCGUCCCGGGAAGUCCAGUCUUACGACUGGGGGCAAUAUAAACAACACUCGACCCUUUGUGCUGUACAACCGUCGCUCAUCCAGUUUGCUGUACCACUUCGACAUCCUUAAAAGAGAGUCAGACUUCAGUCAAGAUGCCGUCUGCUUGAGUGAAUGCAGAAAGGAACGGGAUGAGAGGGAACAUUAUUGUUACAGCGAGUUCGGUAAGCCUUGAAAGCAAUCCAUUGCAUCCUAUUUAUUGUUAUCAUGGGUGUCUUUAUUAUUUUUUUUCUUACAGAAAUUCCAUUCUUUAUCAGUCAAAAAGCUAUCAGUAUGUUAAAAAAACAGUCUCAGCCCAACUGACUCAUUUGUAAUUGUAAUUUAAUACAUCUGAUUGGAAACAACACCUAAGCCACAAGCAGGGGUCCAGGACCAGCGUUUGAAGCUUCAGGCCCACAUUGUGGCUGUGAUUAGAUAGCAGAUAGGUUGCGUUAAUAAACUCAUAUUUCUGGCCCA
rnacentral:lncRNA from 1 species